UACGAAGGGGGCGAGCGUUGUUCGGAAUUACUGGGUGUAAAGUGUAUGUAGGUGGUCUUUUAAGUCCAAUGUUUAAUUUUGCGGCCUAACCGCAAGUCUGCAUUGGAUACUGAGAGCCUAGAGGCUUAUAGAGAGAAGUGGAAUUUUCGGAGUAGCGGUGAAAUGCGUAGAUCUCGGAAGGAACAUCAGUGGCGAAGGCGGCUUCUUGGAUAAUGUCUGACACUAAAGUACGAAAGCGUGGGGAGCAAACAGG
rnacentral:rRNA from 1 species